CGGACCUUCUACAUUGUCGGAGUAUGUGUAUUUGGCUGCUGUGAUAUCAUUUUCGGAUGCUUGGAUCAAUUACCGUCAGGGAUUCCAUUUAUUGUUGCUUGCUUUAUCGUAAGGAGUUUAGAAGCAUUGGGAACAGCGGCUGUUAUGACAUCUAGCUUUGCAAUUGCGGGACUGUGUUUUCCAAAACGAAUCGCAACAGUUUACGCAGUGCUUAAGUCUAUUAAUGGAGGUGCUUUUAUGAUUGGACCAGCAAUAGGAGGUGG